GGGAGACCUCUGAGGUGUGGCCUUCAGGAGGCCAGGGCUCAAGAUGCAGAGUGAGGUGCAGGCCUGGCAGUGACACCCAGCAGGAAGCGUCACCAUCCCAUUGUGCCAGGUCUGUCAUGCUGGGAAGAGGAAGGUUUUGAAUGAGAACCCAGUGGCCCCUGGCCAGCGAUGCACAGGACAGUCUGGGGGGCUUGGCUCCAGGCAUCAUGGAGGAUGCUGGGCAUGCAGCAUAAACGGCAUCUUGUGAGCCACUUCCUUACCCUACUUCUGCCUCCAUCACCCAGAGUGAGAACCAUGGGAGAUGUCACCUCGCAGAGACAUGGCCCUGCAGCCAGCCCAGAGCUCACACAGCCUCCCAGUUCUCACAGCAGGGACACUUACCCCUUACAUGAGGGGUAAGGACAGAGCUGUGUCCCAUGUUUUGUUUUUUAAUUUUAAAAUGAAAAAGGAAUAAAAACGAUGAUACAGAAUUUCAAAACAAAAUAA